AUGUAUCCUGUAGCCAAGUAUGAAGCAGAGACCAGAAUAGCCAAAUGCUUCACUGCCAUGCUCCUGCUUAUGAAUCAGACCGCCUGCAAGUGCCCCAGUUGUGAAGUCCAUGAAAAGACUCUAUGCAGAGAUCUCUUCUUAAGUUAUAUAUUAAAUUUUAAAAUAUGCCUUAAAUGUGGUUUGUUGGGCCGGCAGGAUCAAGGGGGAUCUGGCAG
rnacentral:lncRNA from 12 species